AGUGAACGCUGGCGGUAGGCCUAACACAUGCAAGUCGAACGAGUGGCGGACGGGUGAGGAAUGCAUCGGAAUCUACUCUGUCGUGGGGGAUAACGUAGGGAAACUUACGCUAAUACCGCAUACGAUUGAAUGAGCCGAGGUCGGAUUAGCUAGUGGGCGGGGUAAAGGCUCACCAAGGCGACGAUCCGUAGCUGGUCUGAGAGGAUGAUCAGCCACACUGGAACUGAGACACGGUCCAGACUCCUACGGGAGGCAGCAGUGGGGAAUAUUGGACAAUGGGCGCAAGCCUGAUCCAGCCAUGCCGCGUGGGUGAAGAAGGCCUUCGGGUUGUAAAGCCCUUUUGUUGGGAAAGCGGUACCCAAAGAAUAAGCACCGGCUAACUUCGUGCCAGCAGCCGCGGUAAUAC
rnacentral:rRNA from 1 species